GUUAAAUGUUUGGGUGAUCUACAAAUUAUUCAUGUCACUUAUUCAUUUAACAUGAUUUUGACAAUUGUGUGUGUGUGUGUGUGUGUGCAAGCAUAUGUGUGUGUGUGAGUGUGUGUGUGUGUGUGUGUGUGUGUGUGUGUGUGUGUGUGUGUGUGUGUGUGUGUGUGUGUGUGCAAGCCUAUAGGUGUGUGUGUGCAAGCAUAUGGGUGUGUGUGAGUGUGUGUGCGUGAGCGAGAGAGAGAGAGUGUGUGUGUGUGUGUGUGUGUGUGUGUAUGUGUGUGUGUGAGAGUGUGUGUAAAGUUUGCCAUUGAAACUGAUAUUGCCAUUUUCAGGUGAAGAGGUGUGUGAAGAUGAGGGUGAGUGUGAGGAAGAUGAGGAAGAUGAGUGUGCAGGGGGGCUUCCGUCCCGCAGAGAGAGUGUGACGUACUCAGUGGUGCAUUUAAAGAGGAAACCCACUGAGAAUCUGAACAAAGCUGUAGCAUCUACAGAUCCUCUGACUGCUGUAGGUGACACUGAUGAUGAAUAUCAAACAGUCAUAUACGCCGGAUUGAAAAUGAAUCAAUGAACAAUCAAUCAAUAAUAUUAAAGGGGGACUCAUCUGCUCUAUUGUGGACAGUUUGUCACAUAAGUGCCAGGGGUUUCACAACCUCAUAGUUUUACAUGUCAGACAUCCUCAGGAGUAUGGUUAGUUUGGCUAUAGGUUAUACAUAGUAAACAAUAAUUUGCACUUUUUUUUAAACUGUUUAUGCUGUUUAUACUGGCCUUUUUUAAUGGACUCCAUAUAAAUGUGACGUGAAAUUAUGCUAAUCUUGGUUGGUUGAGAAAAUAACUGCAAUGAGAGGCGGAUAGAGGAAAUUAUUAUUUUUUAGUAAUUUAGGUGGCUUCAAAAAGAACUAGUCAGUUUGACCUGUAAAUUCAACACAUUGUUUAACCCUACACACAACAACCUACUGCCUGAACAUACCGACAAUUCCGAUGCAACCUUCAUAGUAUGAAGUUCAUAGCCAUGUUUCAAAAACGUAACUGAAUCUAACCGCAUACGUAUAACAACGGGGAGCCUUCUUCCGGUAACUUACUGAGGUAGGCUACUCGCCAUUUGUGAAAAAAUAUGGGGGGGUUGAAACGUUUUUAUUCAUGAAAAGAAAUCACAAACAACAGAAGGCAUGUAGAGUAGACUAUAAAGCUAGUCGGCUGUUGCAGCGUCUUGAGACAAUUUAAUUGUUUUGGCGCUAUAUACAUUGAAUGUAAUUUUGUGUUUAUGUGUUUACUACGAGAUGGUAUUCUGCAUUAGAGUUGGUUGAACUUAAUCUUUUUUAGUUUGUGUAUUUUUGUGUUGUUAUAUGUUGUCCCUCGUGGCCCCAAAUGUCGUUGUAUGAAAAGUUAUACACUGACAAUAAAUGCUUUCCAUUGUAACUGACUGAUCA
rnacentral:lncRNA from 1 species